rnacentral:rRNA from 1 species
CUCGUAGGCCGCUCUGUAAGUCGGAAGUGAAAGACCACGGCUCAACCGUGGAACCGCUUUCGAAACUGCGGAGCUUGAGGCCGGGAGAGGAGAUUGGAAUUCCUGGUGUAGCGGUGAAAUGCGUAGAUAUCAGGAGGAACACCCGUGGCGAAGGCGAAUCUCUGGACCGGUUCUGACGCUGAUGAGCGAAAGCUAGGGGAGCAAACA